rnacentral:rRNA from 1 species
GAUGAACGCUGGCGGCGUGCCUAAUACAUGCAAGUCGAACGCACUCUCGUUUAGAUUGAAGGAGCUUGCUCCUGAUUGAUAAACAUUUGAGUGAGUGGCGGACGGGUGAGUAACACGUGGGUAACCUGCCCUAAAGUGGGGGAUAACAUUUGGAAACAGAUGCUAAUACCGCAUAAAACCUAACACCGCAUGGUGUAGGGUUGAAAGAUGGUUUCGGCUAAUCAACUUUAGGAUGGACCCGCGGUGCAUUAGUUAGUUGGUGAGGUAAAGGCUCACCAAAGACCGUGAUGCAUAGCCGACCUGAGAGGGUAAUCGGCCACACUGGGACUGAGACACGGCCCAGACUCCUACGGGAGGCAGCAGUAGGGAAUCUU